UCAGUGAAAUUGAACUCGCUGUGAAGAUGCAGUGUACCCGCGGCAAGACGGAAAGACCCCGUGAACCUUUACUAUAGCUUGACACUGAACAUUGAGCCUUGAUGUGUAGGAUAGGUGGGAGGCUUUGAAGUGUGGACGCCAGUCUGCAUGGAGCCGACCUUGAAAUACCACCCUUUAAUGUUUGAUGUUCUAACGUUGACCCGUAAUCCGGGUUGCGGACAGUGUCUGGUGGGUAGUUUGACUGGGGCGGUCUCCUCCUAAAGAGUAACGGAGGAGCACGAAGGUUGGCUAAUCCUGGUCGGACAUCAGGAGGUUAGUGCAAUGGCAUAAGCCAGCUUGACUGCGAGCGUGACGGCGCGAGCAGGUGCGAAAGCAGGUCAUAGUGAUCCGGUGGUUCUGAAUGGAAGGGCCAUCGCUCAACGGAUAAAAGGUACUCCGGGGAUAACAGGCUGAUACCGCCCAAGAGUUCAUAUCGACGGCGGUGUUUGGCACCUCGAUGUCGGCUCAUCACAUCCUGGGGCUGAAGUAGGUCCCAAGGGUAUGGCUGUUCGCCAUUUAAAGUGGUACGCGAGCUGGGUUUAGAACGUCGUGAGACAGUUCGGUCCCUAUCUGCCGUGGGCGCUGGAGAACUGAGGGGGGCUGCUCCUA
rnacentral:rRNA from 1 species